rnacentral:rRNA from 1 species
GACGAACGCUGGCGGCGUGCUUAACACAUGCAAGUCGAACGGAAAGGCCCUGCUUUUGUGGGGUGCUCGAGUGGCGAACGGGUGAGUAACACGUGAGUAACCUGCCCUUGACUUUGGGAUAACUUCAGGAAACUGGGGCUAAUACCGGAUAGGAGCUCCCGCUGCAUGGUGGGGGUUGGAAAGUUUCGGCGGUUGGGGAUGGACUCGCGGCUUAUCAGCUUGUUGGUGGGGUAGUGGCUUACCAAGGCUUUGACGGGUAGCCGGCCUGAGAGGGUGACCGGCCACAUUGGGACUGAGAUACGGCCCAGACUCCUACGGGAGGCAGCAGUGGGGAAUAUUGCACAGUGGGCGGAAGCCUGAUGCAGCAACGCCGCGUGCGGGAUGACGGCCUUCGGGUUGUAAACCGCUUUCGCCUGUGACGAAGCGUGAGUGACGGUAAUGGGUAAAGAAGCACCGGCUAACUACGUG